AUUGAACGCUGGCGGCAGGCCUAACACAUGCAAGUCGAGCGGAGCGGAGGACGGGUGUGUAAUUCCUAGGAAUCUGACUGGUAGUGGGGUUUAACGUCCGGAAACGGGCGCUAAUCCCGCAUCUUAUACGAUGAGCCUAGGUCGGAUUAGCUAGUUGGUGGGGUAAAGGCCUACCAAGGCGACGCUCCGUAACUGGUCUGAGAGGAUGAGCAGUCACACUGAAACUGAGACACGGUCCAGACUCCUACUGGAAGCAGAAGUGGGAAAUAUUGGACAAUGUGCGAAAGCCUGAGCCUGCCAUGCCGGGUGUGUGAAGAAGGUCUUCGUUUUGUAAAGCACUUUAAGUUGGGAGGCGUAACCAACAGAAUAGGCACCGGCUAACAUCGGGCCAGCAGCCGGGUAAUUC
rnacentral:rRNA from 1 species